CAACAACGGAUCUCUUGGUUCUGGCAUCGAUGAAGAACGCAGCGAAAUGCGAUAAGUAAUGUGAAUUGCAGAAUUCAGUGAAUCAUCGAAUCUUUGAACGCACAUUGCGCGCGAGUAAUCUGCCGGCAUGCCUGUCCGAGCGUCAUUU
rnacentral:rRNA from 1 species